AGAGUUUGAUCCUGGCUCAGAUUGAACGCUGGCGGUAUGCUUUACACAUGCAAGUCGAACGGCAGCACGGGGCAACCUGGUGGCGAGUGGCGAACGGGUGAGUAAUAUAUCGGAACAUGUCCGGAAGUGGGGGAUAACGUACCGAAAGGUACGCUAAUACCGCAUAUGCCCUGAGGGGGAAAGGGGGGGAUCGCAAGACCUCUCGCUUUCGGAGUGGCCGAUAUCGGAUUAGCUAGAUGGUGAGGUAAAGGCUCACCAUGGCGACGAUCCGUAGCUGGUCUGAGAGGACGACCAGCCACACUGGAACUGAGACACGGUCCAGACUCCUACGGGAGGCAGCAGUGGGGAAUUUUGGACAAUGGGGGCAACCCUGAUCCAGCCAUACCGCGUGAGUGAAGAAGGCCUUCGGGUUGUAAAGCUCUUUCGGACAGAAAGAAAUCGUGCGGGCUAAUACCCCGUAUGGAUGACGGUACUGUAAGAAGAAGCACCGGCUAACUACGUGCCAGCAGCCGCGGUAAUACGUAGGGUGCGAGCGUUAAUCGGAAUUACUGGGCGUAAAGCGUGCGCAGGCGGUUUUGUAAGACAGGUGUGAAAUCCCCGGGCUUAACCUGGGAACUGCAUUUGUGACUGCAAGGCUAGAGUGUAGCAGAGGGGGGUAGAAUUCCACGUGUAGCAGUGAAAUGCGUAGAGAUGUGGAGGAAUACCGAUGGCGAAGGCAGCCCCCUGGGUCAACACUGACGCUCAUGCACGAAAGCGUGGGGAGCAAACAGGAUUAGAUACCCUGGUAGUCCACGCCCUAA
rnacentral:rRNA from 1 species